AGGACGAACGCUGGCGGCGUGCUUAACACAUGCAAGUCGAGCGGAAAGGCCCUUCGGGGUACUCGAGCGGCGAACGGGUGAGUAACACGUGAGCAACCUGCCCCUGGCUCUGGGAUAGCCUCCGGAAACGGGGAUUAAUACCGGACAUUCACUGCCUGCCGCAUGGUGGGUGGUGGAAAGUUUUUCGGCCAGGGAGGGGCUCGCGGUCUAUCAGCUUGUUGGCGGGGUAACGGCCCACCAAGGCGACGACGGAUAGCCGGCCUGAGAGGGCGAUCGGCCACACUGGGACUGAGACACGGCCCAGACUCCUACGGGAGGCAGCAGUGGGGAAUAUUGCACAAUGGGCGCAAGCCUGAUGCAGCGACGCCGCGUGGGGAUGAAGGCCUUCGGGUUGUAACCCCUUUCACCAGGAGCGAAUUCAGACGGUACCGUGGGAAGAAGCGCCGGCUAACUACGCGCCAGCAGCCGC
rnacentral:rRNA from 1 species